GACGAACGCUGGCGGCGUGCUUAACACAUGCAAGUCGAACGGAAAGGCCUCAGCUUGCUGGGGUACUCGAGUGGCGAACGGGUGAGUAACACGUGGGUGAUCUGCCUUGCACUCUGGGAUAAGCUUGGGAAACUGGGUCUAAUACCGGAUAUGAACUGCCUUUAGUGUGGUGGUUGGAAAGUUUUUUCGGUGCAAGAUGAGCUCGCGGCCUAUCAGCUUGUUGGUGGGGUAAUGGCCUACCAAGGCGUCGACGGGUAGCCGGCCUGAGAGGGUGUACGGCCACAUUGGGACUGAGACACGGCCCAGACUCCUACGGGAGGCAGCAGUGGGGAAUAUUGCACAAUGGGCGGAAGCCUGAUGCAGCGACGCCGCGUGGGGGAUGACGGCCUUCGGGUUGUAAACUCCUUUCGACAGGGACGAAGCUUUUUGUGACGGUACCUGUAUAAGAAGCACCGGCUAACUACGUG
rnacentral:rRNA from 1 species